UACGGAGGAUCCAAGCGUUGUCCGGAUUUAUUGGGUUUAAAGGGUGCGUAGGCGGUCUAUUAAGUCAGUGGUGAAAGUUUGCGGCUCAACCGUAAAAUUGCCAUUGAAACUGAUAGACUUGAGUAUGGUUGAGGUGGGCGGAAUGUGUCAUGUAGCGGUGAAAUGCUUAGAUAUGAUACAGAACACCGAUUGCGAAGGCAGCUCACUAAACCAUAACUGACGCUGAGGCACGAAAGCGUGGGUAUCAAACAGGAUUAGAUACCCUGGUAGUCCACGCCGUAAACGUUGAUAACUCGUAAUUGGCGAUACACAGUCAGUUACCAAGCGAAAGCGUUAAGUUAUCCACCUGGGGAGUACGUCCGCAAGGAUG
rnacentral:rRNA from 1 species